rnacentral:tRNA from 1 species
GUUUUAAUAAUUUAAGUAAAAAUAUUGGUCUUGUAAAUCAAAAAUAAAAUAAUUUUUUUAAAACU